rnacentral:rRNA from 1 species
UACGUAGGCAGCAAGCGUUGUUCGGAAUUACUGGGCGUAAAGAGUGUGUAGGCGGUGCUCUAAGUUCGGUGUGAAAUCUCCCGGCUUAACUGGGAGGGUGCGCCGGAAACUGGAGUGCUCGAGCGUGGGAGAGGAAAGCGGGAAGUUCCUGGUGUAGCGGUGAAAUGCGUAGAUAUCAGGAGGAACACCUGCGGUGUAGACGGCUUUCUGGACCAUUGCUGACGCUGAGACACGAAAGCGUGGGUAGCAAACAGG